CAGGCUUAACACAUGCAAGUCGAGCGGAUGAAAGUAGCUUGCUACUGGAUUCAGCGGCGGACGGGUGAGUAAUGCUUAGGAAUCUGCCUAUUAGUGGGGGACAACGUUCCGAAAGGAGCGCUAAUACCGCAUACGUCCUACGGGAGAAAGCAGGGGACCUUUGGGCCUUGCGCUAAUAGAUGAGCCUAAGUCGGAUUAGCUAGUUGGUAGGGUAAAGGCCUACCAAGGCGACGAUCUGUAGCGGGUCUGAGAGGAUGAUCCGCCACACUGGGACUGAGACACGGCCCAGACUCCUACGGGAGGCAGCAGUGGGGAAUAUUGGACAAUGGGGGGAACCCUGAUCCAGCCAUGCCGCGUGUGUGAAGAAGGCCUUUUGGUUGUAAAGCACUUUAAGCGAGGAGGAGGCUACCUAGAUU
rnacentral:rRNA from 1 species